rnacentral:rRNA from 1 species
GACGAACGCUGGCGGCGUGCUUAACACAUGCAAGUCGAACGAUGAAGAAAAGAAUCGAAGCUUCGGCAGAAAUUCAUUUCGGAUUAGUGGCAGACGGGUGUGUAACGCGUGAGCAACCUACCUCUUACAAAGGGAUAGCCUCGGGAAACCGGGAUUAAUACCAUAUAACAUUGCGACGAAGCAUUUCGAUGCAAUCAAAGCUACGGCGGUAAGAGAUGGGCUCGCGUCCCAUUAACCGGAUGGUGAGGUAACGGCUCACCAUAGUGACGAUGGGUAACCGGCCUGAGAGGGUGAGCGGUCACACUGGAACUGGGACACGGUCCAGACUCCUACGGGAAGCAGCAGUGGGGAAUAUUGCACAGUGGAGGGAACUCUGAUGCAGCGACGCCGCGUGAGUGAUGAAGGAAUUCGUUUCGUAAAGCUCUGUUCUAUGGGAAGAAAAGGACUGUACCAUAGGAGAAAGCUCCGGCUAAAUACGUG